AUUUGGUCACGUAAUUUAAUCUAUUUAUUCGUGCAAGGAACACGUUUAUUUCGUUAUUUUCGUAAUUCCAGCACGUUUUUUAAACUAUUGUAUUUCAAUUGGAAUCAUCUUUCGUGCAUAUAGCACGAUUUUUUUCUGCCAGUCGGGCUGCAGUAGGGAAGCUGUUUAAUCAACAUUUAUUCACAAGAUCUUAUCAAGACUUCAAUAUAUAAGAAUAAAUAGGAAUCGGCAACAAUUAACGAUCUAUGCCAGCGCAAGUCAAUAUUUAUCUGGUCGUUUCAACUGUUUUUUAAUGUUAAAAGUCCCUCGCAGUCAACAGCUGUUUCCGGUGAGGUCAACUGCAGGAUCAAUAGCAUUUAGCGGUGAGUUUAAGAACGCUCAAAUGUGGGUAAAAUAACAUUCAGAGAGGAGUUUUAUUAAAACAGCGUUCAACUGCAUGUAAGACAACAUUCAGAGUCCUGUAAUAACUGUGACGUCAUCGAAUGAGACGAAGGUCCAUGGCUAUUUCAACUCGGAAGUUGAGAUGAAGGUGCGGAAACUUGAGGCUGUCGGAUACAAGUCAAUUGUAUUUACUGGGAAACGGGAAAAAAAGGACCUGCCGGAGAGCCUCGCCAUGGAGCUGCCGGAGAGCAUCGUCAUGGAACGGCCGGAGAAUCUCAACAAGGAGUCUGAGGCUGUAUUUGCAUUAAAUCUUGUUCCUCUGUCCUCUAGACUCUCUCCAACCUCUCUUGCUCCUAUUACUUUUACAACUAUUUUCCUCCACUUUCUUCCCCACCUCCUCUGACAUGCUCACUGACACGUCUUUGCCACAGAGAAAGAGGAAUACAAAGACAUCUACCUCUUCAAACUAUACCAUGGCUUCAAACUAUACCAUAAAGGGUUCCCCAAAUCUAACCCUGGAGGGCCGGAGCACUGCAGAGUUUAGCUCCAACCCUGAUCAAACACACCUGAUCAAGGUCUUCAUGAUCACUAGAAAAUCACAGGUUGUCGAUAAAAUAACUGGGGAGUUGAUAAAUAAGGGGAAAGCUGAAUUGAAAGUUCACUGGUGACCGUGCUCUGUGUGUGGCAAAACCUGGGAUGACACAUGGGAGACCGCCAACGAAUUCCAACACAAGUCCCACAUCCCAACCAGCUUUCAGCAUGACGGCCUACACCUUUUUAUUAUCAAGCACCUUUCAAUUGUUUUUGAUUGUCUUUGCUUGCUGUUCUUUAUUAAAGUUUUUGCACAGUA